UGGUUAGUCCGCAACGAGCGCAACCCCUACUUGUUAGUUGUCCAUCAUUCAGUUGGGCACUCUAGCGAGACUGCCGGUAAUAAACCGGAGGAAGGUGGGGAUGACGUCAAAUCAUCAUGCCCCUUAUGACCUGGGCUACACACGUGCUACAAUGGUUGGUACAACGAGUUGCGAGUCGGUGACGGCGAGCUAAUCUCUUAAAGCCAAUCUCAGUUCGGAUUGUAGGCUGCAACUCGCCUACAUGAAGUCGGAAUCGCUAGUAAUCGCGGAUCAGCACGCCGCGGUGAAUACGUUCCCGGGCCUU
rnacentral:rRNA from 1 species